ensembl:lincRNA
GCAGAUCAUUGCUUCGGCUUUCAGGACCUUUGCAAACUUAGAUUAAAUAAAUUAACUUAAAUUAGCUAUCAAAUAUAGCUGUGAGUUUGAAGGGUUCAUAGCCUGGAGGAAAACAGAAGUAAAAUUCAGCAUCUGUCAAAGGUUGCCAAAGUAGAAAUAAACAUGAUAGUUAUCCGAUCCCUUUCCUAGGGCACCAGAUUUGGGCACCACCACAUGUGAUGUGGGGCGGAUUGGCCAAUAGAAGCCAAGUGAAGUCAGACGCUCAAGAUGUAACUAAAGAGACAUACCUAUUUGCGGCCUACUUCCUAUUCUCCAAGUGCAUUUUAAUUCCCCUGACUGCAUGAUUUUGUUCAGCAUUUAUGAAUAUCAUCUGUCUAAUCUGGAGAAACACGUCUUAUAGUUGGCCACUCUCAUGGUUCUUGUUGCCUUCUGUUGUUUGGAGGAAUCUAAGGAUUUAUGGAAGUUAUGUUGGUAUAUCAGAAGCUUGUUGGUAUAUAUUUGACACUGCCUCUGGAACUCCUUGCCGAACACAAAGCUGUGCUAUUUGCCUGCCUAGAGCAUUGAUGGUAAAAUAGAGUUUUCAAUGUCUGUCACUCAAGGCCUUUCCACAUCUCACCUCAAUCCCUUUUCUCCUCUAAUUUCUGGCCUUACGUUCUCUAAGUCACCAUGUGUUUUACCUAUAAUAAACAAUUUUGCUCCUUAAAUGAUGCCUUACAUUUUUUUUCCCUGAAUUUGCAUCUUUG